GGCAAAGCUGGAAAAUAAAAUCCCGGAAUAUGGGCCCCGCCCCCAAGUGCGCUCCACUCCAGGGCCAGGCCGGAGUCAGGGGGGUGCCUUCCAGCACUGGGGUCUCCACAGGGAAAUGAGGGGAGCCCUCGCUGGGCCUCGCAUCUUCACCCCCAACUCCCGGGAAUGUCCUGCCUGCACUUUGAUGGCAAAAAGGUGAAAGAUGCAAAUGCUGCUGAUACCUAUUCAGCUGACUUCACCCAAAUGCCCUGGGAAUUCCCUCCCUCCCUGCUGUCUGGGCAGAGGGGUGCUGUGGCCCCUGCUGACUCACUUUUGCUGGCUACCGCCUCUACCUAAUAAGGUGAUCCAAUGACCAGGGACCUUCAACUUUUACUCUUUAACCUGAACCUCUUUUCCUACCAGAGGCUGCUUUCUGACUUUGGGGGUAGGGUGUGAUCAUUGGUCAACAUGUUUUCAACCUUGUCUCAUCACACAUUAACUGAGGAAGGGACAAGCAAAUCACCUGCCCUCUGACCCUCAUCCCUACCCCUAAUUUCAACUCCUUUCUCCUUUCUUCUGUUCCCCAAAAUCUCCUGCAAGUUGCAGUGAAGGGGGGGGGGUAGAGUUGGGGAGACGAAAUCCACUCCUAAUGGGACAGAGUUAUUGAGGGCUGAGGGUUGAUGUGUCAGAGCUUCCAGAGAAACAUAGCACUCUGACUUCCUGCAGCGCGGACCUGGGGACUGCUGCCCCAGACCCCAACAGGGCGAACCCCUAGGAGGCCUACAGGACACCCUGCCUCCAUGAAGGCCUGCGCCAGGCGUCCCCCAUGCACUUGUCCCCUCCUCCCAUCUCUCCAACGUGUUUACUCCAACAUGGUCCACCCCAAUGUCCCUCCACAGUCCUUAUCACCUGACAGGGGUGUGGGGAAGCAGGCAGAUACAUGGGCCCUGCCUCCCCAGCCAGGCCAGGCAUAGGCGCAAGGACAGAGGCACUGACCAGGCCGCCUCCCCACGUCACCACCAUGAAGCUGCUUGUAGUGCGGUGCUGCUCCUCACCAUCUCUGGCCUCGAAGUAGCCUUGGUCCGGAGGCAGGCAGAGGAGACGAGCCUGCAAAGCCUGUUCUCAGUACCUGCAAACUGACCGACUAUGGCAAGGACCUGGUGGAGAAGGUCAAGGGCCCAGAGGUCCAGGCCCAGGCCAAGGCUUCCUUGGAGAACACACGUGAGCAGUGACACCCCUGGUCAAGAAGGCUGGGAAUGAGCUGAUGAGCUUCCUCAAUUACUUCGUGGGUGGUAUCCCAAUCACCGUCGGACGCCCAGCCACCCCAAGCUGGCCCCUAGGACACGUCUGGCUGGCCUCCAGCGCCCUCUGUCCCCACCCCUUGCUUCUACAAUAAAUAGUAAAGGAGUCC